AGAGUUUGAUCCUGGCUCAGGACGAACGCUGGCGGCGUGCCUAGCACAUGCAAGUCGAGCGAUGAAACCCUUCGGGGUGGAUUAGCGGCGGACGGGUGAGUAACACGUGGGUAACCUGCCUCAAUGAGGGGAAUAGCCUUCCGAAAGGAAGAUUAAUACCGCAUAAUAUGUUUAGAUCGCAUGAUCUUAACAUCAAAGGAAUUUCUUCGGAGAUUCCACUUUGAGAUGGACCCGCGGCGCAUUAGCUAGUUGGUGAGGUAACGGCCCACCAAGGCAACGAUGCGUAGCCGACCUGAGAGGGUGAUCGGCCACAUUGGAACUGAGACACGGUCCAGACUCCUACGGGAGGCAGCAGUGGGGAAUAUUGCGCAAUGGGGGAAACCCUGACGCAGCAACGCCGCGUGAAUGAUGAAGGCCUUCAGGUUGUAAAGUUCUGUCUUCUGGGACGAUAAUGACGGUACCAGAGGAGGAAGCCACGGCUAACUACGUGCCAGCAGCCGCGGUAAUAC
rnacentral:rRNA from 1 species